UCAUCCAAGAGAAUGUGGUAGCUGAAGGGGAGAGUCCAAGAAAGAGGCCAAGGGUGAAGACAUUUAGCCACCCCCUGAAGUACAUGGCAGCAUCCAACCCUCUUGGUGAGCUGCAGGAAUGUGCUCCCCAUUGCAGUGCACCAGCUCCAUGUACUGAUUUUGGGUGUGAACUUGAUGGCGUUGAAGGAAACUCGACUCGGCCAUCAAGCUCACCACAAUAUAACAAGAAAAGUGAAAAUUGCUGCACACAACAGUCUGCCGUCUGCGCCGGGAGGCAAGGCAGCUCAAACCCCAGGCUGUUACAACUCCUGGGCAGUUUUUGCCCAGAGCCAGCAAUUUUUUAGAUCCAAUAGGGAUGGAUUUUUUUCUGAGGUCAGGUUCAACAUGCUGCAAGAUGCCAAGAUCUAAGCCUAGUAGGAGAUAUGGGUUACAAGAGAGGAGGUUUGCUCUGGCCUUAUACUAUCAAAGUCCAAAUGCUAAUAGAUUUCUGAGCACAGUAUUUCACUUGCCUUCAGUUUCAACACUUCACUCAUGACUCAGGGGUAUUUCAGUACAUGUUGGCUGGAGCAAACAGACUCUGACAGCCCUGCAGCAAAGAGCACAGGCUUUGUCAAAAGAAGAAAAACUUUGUG